CUACGGGACGCUGCAGUGAGGAAUAUUGCACAAUGGGGGGAACCCUGAUGCAGCAACGCCGCGUGGAGGAUGACGCAUUUCGGUGUGUAAACUCCUUUUAUAUGUCAAGAAAAUGACGGUAGCAUAUGAAUAAGCACCGGCUAACUCCGUGCCAGCAGCCGCGGUAAUACGGAGGGUGCAAGCGUUACUCGGAAUCACUGGGCGUAAAGGACGCGUAGGCGGGUUGGAAAGUCAGGUGUGAAAUCCUACAGCUUAACUGUAGAACUGCACUUGAAACUUCUAAUCUAGAGUAUGGGAGGGGGAGAUGGAAUUAGUGGUGUAGGGGUAAAAUCCGUAGAUAUCACUAGGAAUACCUAAAGCGAAGGCGAUCUCCUGGAACAUUACUGACGCUAAGGCGUGAAAGCGUGAGGAGCAAACAGGAUUAGAUACCCCAGUACUC
rnacentral:rRNA from 1 species